AACGCUGGCGGCGUGCCUAACACAUGCAAGUCGAGCGCGAAUGGAGCAAUCCUAGUAGAGCGGCGCACGGGUGCGUAACACGUGGAUAAUCUGCCUGGGAGAUCGGAAUAACCUGCCGAAAGGCAAGCUAAUACCGGAUAAGCCCACAGGGACUUAGGUCCUCGAGGGAAAAGGUGGCCUCUGUAUACAAGCUAUCACUUCCAGAUGAGUCCGCGGCCCAUCAGCUAGUUGGCGGGGUAAUGGCCCACCAAGGCAACGACGGGUAGCUGGUCUGAGAGGACGAUCAGCCACACUGGAACUGAGACACGGUCCAGACUCCUACGGGAGGCAGCAGUGGGGAAUUUUGCACAAUGGGCGCAAGCCUGAUGCAGCAACGCCGCGUGUGUGAUGAAGGUCUUCGGAUUGUAAAGCACUUUCGACCGGGACGAAAACCCGUUGGCUAACAUCCAACGGCUUGACGGUACCGGGAGAAGAAGCACCGGCUAACUCUGUGCCAGCAGCCGCGGUAAUACAGAGGGUGCAAGCGUUGUUCGGAAUUAUUGGGCGUAAAGCGCGUGUAGGCGGCCAUGCAAGUCGGGUGUGAAAGCCCUCGGCUUAACCGAGGAAGUGCGCCCGAAACUG
rnacentral:rRNA from 1 species